UCCCUGGUAGUAUAUCGGUUAGUACACGCGCCUGUCAUAUCUUGACUCGACGUGCGAAGUCAGACGCGCGAAAGCUGGGUUCGACUCCCAGCCAGGGAG